GCCUGGCUAGCUCAGCUGGUAGAGCAUGGGACUCUUGAGCUCAGGAUUAUGGGUUUGAGCCCUACACUGGAUG